UACGUAGGGGGCAAGCGUUGUCCGGAAUUAUUGGGCGUAAAGAGCACGUAGGCGGUCCGAUAAGUCGGCUGUGAAAGUCCAGGGCUCAACCCUGGAAAGCCGGCCGAUACUGUCGGACUAGAGUCCGGAAGAGGCAAGUGGAAUUCCCGGUGUAGCGGUGAAAUGCGCAGAUAUCGGGAGGAACACCAAUGGCGAAGGCAGCUUGCUGGGACGGUACUGACGCUGAGGCGCGAAAGCGUGGGGAGCAAACAGG
rnacentral:rRNA from 1 species